GAAAUAUUAACUGUUUCAUUUGAAUUUUUUAUAGAAUUUUAUUUUUUAGUCAAAAAGCUAAAAUAAAUUUAAAAGACGAGAAGACCCUAUAAAUCUUUAUAUUUUGUUUAUUUUAAUUAUAAAGAUUAUUUUUAUUAUAAUAAGUUAAAAUAUUUUAUUGGGGUGAUAUUAAAAUUUAAAAAACUUUUAAUUUUUAAAACCAUUAAUUUAUGAAUAAUUGAUCCAUUAAUAAUGAUUAAAAAUUUAAGUUACUUUAGGGAUAACAGCGUAAUUUUUUUGGAGAGUUCAUAUCGAUAAAAAAGAUUGCGACCUCGAUGUUGGAUUAAGAUAUAAUUUUGGGUGUAGCCGUUCAAAUUUUAAGUCUGUUCGACUUUUAAAUUCUU
rnacentral:rRNA from 1 species